UACGUAGGGGGCAAGCGUUGUCCGGAAUCAUUGGGCGUAAAGAGCGCGUAGGCGGCCCAGUAAGUCCGCUCUGAAAGUCAGGGGCUCAACCCCUGAAUGCGGGUGGAUACUGCUGGGCUAGAGUCCGGAAGAGGCGAGUGGAAUUCCUGGUGUAGCGGUGAAAUGCGCAGAUAUCAGGAAGAACACCCGUGGCGAAGGCGGUUCUCUGGGACGGUACUGACGCUGAGACGCGAAAGCGUGGGGAGCGAACAGG
rnacentral:rRNA from 1 species